CCUGGUUGGAGGUUGGAAAUUUCCCAUUUCCAAGUUGCCUGUAACGCAGCAUAACUCUUCACACUUCGGAUCUCUGUUUUUCUUCUGGACAAGAAACAAGUAUGGCUGACCUGUUCCUGAUGGCAGUGCUGCUGGUUGUCUGCCUGUUGCUGUGGGUUUUGAACAAAAAAAGGCGUGCUGUGGACCCACACAUGCUUGCUGCAAUUAUAAAUGGAAUCUUGAGAGAGUAUGGAACAGAUGGCAUGUUCAGUCUGGCUGUAAGGAUCCCAUUCAAACAGAACCAGAAUCUGGACCAGAUUCUUCCGCAUGUCUUCAGAAGUGAUCCUGGUGAAUUUGUGAAGAAUAAUAUCAACAAUAACCAGGUGUACAUUGGCAACAGGGUGGUUGCAGCCAGAGUUCUGCCACGGCCCAAUGGAGGAGCUGAUCACGCAGAGUCACGUGUUUUGGACUACUUGCACCACUUGAUAAACGGGCCUGAUAAUAAUGAUCUGUUGCUUUUCUUUGUUUAUGCUUUCCCAUGUGUUGAAAAAUGUUUGAACAGCAGACAUCAUAAGAACAUUCUCCAAAGAAUACAAAUCAUCUGUCAAUUAAAGAAUCGUGCUUUUGUGUUUUCAAAAAUAUUCAGACCGAGCAAUGGUCAGUUGAUCAAUACUGACCAAGAACGGAUUGACGCCCUUCAGCAGCUAGGGACUAAAAUCGGUUGGGACAACAUUUUCCGAUAUGAAAGGAUGCAGUGCACCAGAUGCUUCAUUGAUGGAGAGGUUGCACCUCAUUGCAUUAGCGAUAGUUAACAGUCUGCACCCGGCCCUCCAGGGCAUCGGGCUCAGUCACAGAGGCAGAAAAGUUCUUGGGACGGCUGUGAUUCAGGUCGUACAGAUCUGCAGGGACAUGAAGAGUACAGUGGCUAUGGCAGGUCAAGUCACUGCUGCAUCGCCCUCAAACAUUAUCUUAACUAUUAAUGCUCCUGCUGUAAUAUUGUGUUAAUAGAACAAAAACAUCAGGUGAUUGGGGAACAACAGGAGACAACCUCAAGAAAAGUCCAGUUUAGAGAGUUACGUGUAUAAGUGAAGUUUCUUCUCAACAAACUAGCAGGAGCUGCUUAGGUUGCCAUGACAUUUGAUGAAGAUAUUUAUGGACCCAAGAAGAUCAGUUGAACAUAUCUGUGUCACUAUGUAACACGCAUCAUAAUGUUCGCCUAGCGGCUAGUGUUGCAUGGCCUCAAAAACACUGGUGGAGAAACACACUGAGGUGCAUCACACAAGAAGUAAGAUGCCUCACUUGGUAGCUAAAACAGAGCCUUCAGCACCCUAAAUAAAAUAAUGAACCUGACAACAAAGUUGUGCCCUUUGUUUAAAUAAGUCUCCGCUUUUAAUACAAUCCUCCCACCACAUCAGUGUGCGUCUCUGUAGGUUUGUUAGAACCUGAACUGGAAUGCACAGCAGUCCCAUGAACCCACUGUGACUGAGAAAUUCCUUAUGCUUAAAAUGCACUUUAUUCAUUUUAUACUACGAUUGUAUCUAAAUCAUUUGUUUUCAUUUAAUAACUUCCAUCUCACUGCACAGUCACACCAGAAAGUGGAACCGGUGAAUCUGUCAAUCCCUAUCCAAAUUGGAUAGUGCAGCAAGAUUAAUGAGAUAUCUUCCUCCUUUUUGGACUCUGUGAUUCUCUAUCCACUGUUUACUUUUUUCUGAUUUGUAAAUUAUUCUCAGUAUUUACAGCUCCUGUCUUAUAUUCCUGCUGAUAAUUAUAUAUCUACCAGUGUG